rnacentral:lncRNA from 1 species
CUCACCAAUGUGGGUGGGCCUCAUUCAAUCCAUUGCAGACUUGAAUAGAACUAAAAGGAAGAGGAAGGGCAAAUUUGUUGGCUGCUUGAGCUGGGAUAUUCAUCUUUCUCCUGAUCUUGGACAUCAGAACUCCUGAUUCUCAAGCCUUUGGGUUUGGACUGGAGGCACCAGCUUUCCUGGGCCUCCAGCUUGCAGAUGGCAUAUCAUGGAACUUCUCAGCCUCCAAAUUCAUGAACUCUAAUACACCAGUACAAUGGAAAGAUUCCUAAAUUCAAAAGCCAGAAGGCUGGGUUCCUGUUCCCACCCUGCCUUUUACCUUCUGUGUGUUCCUGAUGAAGACACUUCAUGCUCCACUAUUUACUUACCUCUGAAACGAAGGGCUGACCCAGAUCAGUUGUUCUCUGACCUGCUUGGAGGGACUCAGAGGCUGUGGAGGCAACAGAUUUGGGAAUGAGGAAUCGUUCCCUGGAAGAGUCAGAGCGCUCGUAGACACAUUCUGCUGGAUUGCACGAGCUCCUCCCCUGGGAAAUCCACUAAGACUAGAGGAAAGAAUUGCUUGGAGGAUUCAGAGGCUGAAGAGUGGACAGACGGCUUUAAUUGAGAAAAAGAAGCAGAAAAUUGAGGAAGAUGUGAGGCAUCAAUGCCAGCAGACGACAUGUGACAGGUGCUAGCCACAUGGAUCACACUAAAUUUCUGUCAUUUAUAUAGAUAAAAAAGAAUUUCCAAAGAGCUCCUCCAUAAUUCAGCAUUAACCAGCUUUAAAUCAUCACCUUUCUUUACCUUUUCAAAGCACUUUUAUCUAGCUAGCUUUCACUUUCAGAGUGGCCAAUUCAGGUGAGGAUUCUCAAUCCUGUUCUGCAGCUGAGGAACUCAUGCUCAAAAGGGCUAAGAGUUUAUUCUCUUACAUCCAAACACCUUGCUUUUCCAAAUCUUGUGCUCACUUUACCUACACAUUUUGAUUUUUCCAGGCUGAUGACAAGUUAGACAUGCAGACUCCUCAGGCUCAUUCAUAAUCUGUAUAGACAUUACAGGUCAUGCAAAUUUAAGAAAAGGCUAAAAGGUGCCCGUUUGCACCCAACAUGUUGGAUAAUGCCCCGGUAAAGUGGAAAAUCAGUUUCCACAGCCUCGCUCUGUAGGUUUCCUUGGAAUUGUAAAAGCAUAGGACUCUGCCUCAUAUUUAUUUCUAUACGGCAAUGAGGAUAUAAAGGAGCAGACCGAAAAGAGAAAGGAAUUUUAAAAGCCAUGGAAAGCUGCCCUAAAUGUGGUUGGAUAUAGAGAGGAGAGUGCUGAAGGCAAACAGCUGUGCCCUCUUUGCCUUUUUGCUGAGGAAGGGGAUUUAAGCCAAAAGAACACACGUAAACGUGGAUUUCUUAAAGUUCUCACUGUAAUUAUGUAGCCUUGGGAGAUGAGGAAUUGUAAAGUAGAUGCUGGCUUAAACAAAUGAUAAAUCCUUGAGGUGAUGGGCACCCCAUUUUCCCUGAUGUGAUUAUUACACAUAGCAUUCCUGUAUCAAAAUAUCCCAUGUAACCCAUAAAUAUAUAUACCUACCAGUAUAUUUCUGUGGCUAAUCUGAAAGCCACCUGCACCCUUGUGAAGACACCCACAGAGACUUCUGCCUCCCCUCCUACCCUCUGGCCUCAAGAGCUCCCUGGGCUCUCCUGUUGCAGGAGGGAGAGGGAGAGCUUCUUUAGGUUCCUGGUAAGGAUCUCUGAAGACAAUUCCUUAGGCUUGGAUAAUUCCCAGACAUUUGCUAAAAAGCAGCAUCCUCCAAAGCUUUAAUUUGGAUCACAGGAAAAUGAUGCUCCCGCCUCAGAUUCAAACACAGUUUUAUCUCACACUGCAAGCUCCCUGGCAUGGGCAAAGUCCUCGAUGCCUUUCCUGGUGGUUUCCAACAUCAAGGACAUACUUGUUCCUCCUCCUAGCUCUCUCCCUCAGCCAAGUCCUUCCUUACAAUGAAUUGUCCUGCAGAACUCCCUCUUAAGCUUGGCUUCUGGGACAGAAAACCUACUUUCUGAAAGGGUAUGGGGACUGUCAGAGCAUGAACUGGACUCAAGCUCCCAAUUACAGAGCAGACACAAGGCUCUGCCUGCACCAGGCCAUCCCUGGAUUUCUGCAGCUCCAGGACUCUCUUCCAGCAUCUAGAUGCAGCUACUCUCAUUCCAGCUUUGUGUCCUGUUUGAUGCAAAAUCUUUAUUCCUUCCUGUUUCAAUCCCUGUUGCAUAUUCUGUGUGACAAAGCAAGAAGCUGGAAAUCGAGUUCUGAGCUUUAUACCCAGCUCUGCCACAAAUGUGCCAUGACCUUGAAUAAGUCACAUGACUUAUCUGGACCUGGAUUCUCUCAUCUGUAAAAGAGGAAGCUGAGCUAUACUACUUUUAAAAUGUCUCCAGCUUUAAUUUUAUUAGAAUAUCAGCUGCUUCCUCCUCUGGUUUCUCAUGGCAGGUUGUGCAUUCUUCUCUGGAGACACCAAAUUUCAUUGGAGUAUCUCUCCUUACAAAUGUAUUUCCCCACUAGAUUGGCCCCUCAAGAACAAGGAUUGUAUUUUAGUUACCUCUGUUAUCUCUGUACCUGGGGAGGAGUGAGAAAAGGAGAGCAGGAAAGGCAAUGGUAUAGUACCAACAUUUGUUGAGCUUCUAUUAUGAGGAAUUGUCUAUGCUACACAUUGUACAUAAAGUAUGUAUGAUUCACAGUAUAAACAUUAUAAUCUGGAAUCAACCUAAAUGUUCAUUAGCAGAUGAAUGGAUAAAGAAAAUGUGGUAUAUAGACGCAACACAAUACUAUACAGCCAUAAAAAAAAAAAAGAAUGAAAUCUUGUCAUUCAUGGCAGCAUGGAUGAGCCUGGAGGACAUUACGUUAAGUGAAAAAAGUCAGGAACGGAAACACAAAUGCCACAUGUCCUCUUUCAUAUAUGGGAAAAUUUAAAAAGUUACUCUCAUAGAAGUAGAGAGUAAAAUAGAGGCUACUAGAGGCUGGGAAGGGUAGAGGGGCAAGGGUCAUAGGGAAAAGAGAGUUAACGGAUACAAAUUACAGCUAGAAAGAUGGGAAGAGUGAAUUCCAGUGUUCUAAAGCAGGGUAGGUGACUACAGUUAAUGAUUAUUUAUUGUCUACUUAUUGUAUAUUAUUGUAUAUUUUCAAAUAUUGUAUAUUUUCAAAGAGGAUUCUGAAUGUUCCCAACACAACAAAAUAAUAAAUAUUUGAGGUGAUGGAU